UUUCAAGCAUAAGUAUGUAUCAUGAAAUAUUGGGGACAUACUUAUACUAAAA
rnacentral:pre_miRNA from 1 species